AUGCCCAAGCUGUUACCAACUACACGUUUCGUCAUGUGAUUAAGGACUGCGCUAUUGUUUUCAAGGAAAAAGAAAAGAACAAAACAGGUGUAGUUUCAAGUUGGGAGCUAUGGGUAAACAAUCGGUUCAACACCAGCUCUGAGUUCUGCAAGAAACAAUACCUAAAGGUGUGCAAAUGCGACCAACCCAUGCAAUUCAACAUGAGUGACUGUGAAAGACCACCACAAAACCAGGAAUCUUUUGAAUGACAUUAAAUGUCUAAAAAAGCUGUUGAGCAUAAGAAAAUGAGGAGUCACUGGCACUAAAUAAAAUUUUGAAGUGUCUUUCA